rnacentral:tRNA from 2 species
GGCCCCUUAGCUCAGCUGGAUAGAGCACCGGCCUUCUAAGCCGACGGUCGCUGGUUCGAAUCCAGCAGGGGUCGCCA